AGGGUGGUGAAGAAAGAGGAGAAAACUUUUCUUUCUUAAAGUUGAACUUUGCAAACUUGGAGAAGCGUUCCUUUUCUCUCAGGCACCUUCGCUGAAUAAUUCGGUCCAGUGAUGGGGAAAAAUACGCUUCAAAGUACACCUUCUACGAAUGAGCGUCAGACCAAUUAUCAAGACUGUACAGAAAUUAUGCCUUUGGAGAGAGGACUCUAUGGUGAAAGAAAACAUCAUACCAGGCUGUCUUCAAAGAAGCUGUUCAGCUGCCUUUUCUUCUGGUAGUAGAAUGAGUGGUGUUAGAAUAAGAACCAUACUCUAAUUCUGCUCAGGAAUGAAUACCAUCCGUGAAAUGCAAACCAUCACGAUCAAGACAUCAUCAAUUUGCAAAGAAGAGCAAAGGAAAUGGAAGAAAUAUUUUGGUUGGGCAAAAAGGAGAAAAUCAGGAAUGGAGGGUCUUCCAAAAAGUGCCAGACACCAGGUGUCCAGGAUUGGUGAUACCAGGGGGACAGUACCUCUGACUGUCCACUUCUCCAUUCUUGUGAGCUAGUAAGGAGUCUAGCGUGGCUCCAGAGAGAUAUUACAUGGAGCCCAUCAAUACACCUGAAACCUUCCAUGAGUGGUUGGCACUCUGUUUACAGAUAUUGCAAACAGA